UACGAAGGGGGCUAGCGUUGCUCGGAAUCACUGGGCGUAAAGCGCACGUAGGCGGAUUGUUAAGUCGGGGGUGAAAUCCUGGAGCUCAACUCCAGAACUACCUUCGAUACUGGCGAUCUUGAGUCCGGGAGAGGUGAGUGGAACUCCGAGUAUAGAGGUGAAAUUCGUAGAUAUUCGGAAGAACACCAGUGGCGAAGGCGGCUCACUGGCCCGGUACUGACGCUGAGGUGCGAAAGCGUGGGGAGCAAACAGG
rnacentral:rRNA from 1 species